UUGAAAUAAACACCAGCCAUCUCUAUGAGCAACAGGUUCAGCUCUUGGCAGACACAUGUAACCCUAUUGAUGAAAAUGACAAUAAAAUUGGGGCUGAGACCGAGAAGAAUUGUCACCUGAAUGAGAACACUGAAAGAGGAUUAUUGCAUUGGACUUUUAGUGUCUUCUUAUUCAACACCAAAAAUAAGCUCCUGCUAGAGGAAAGCUCAGAUGCUAAGAUUUCCUUUCCGGGUUGCUUUACCAAUACUUGUUGUGGUCAUCCAUUAGGUAAUUCAGGCAAGCUUGAGGAAAGUGAUGACCUUGAAGUAAGGCAAGCAGUGCAGAAGCAUCUGAAAGCUGAGUUAGGAAUCCCCAUAGAAGCAGUUCCUCCAGAAGAAAUUAAUUGUUUAACAUGAAUUCACUAUGAAGCUCAGUCUGAUGGUAUCUGGGGUGAACACGAAAUUGAUUACAUUUUAUUUGUGAGGAAGAAUGUCACUUUGAGUCUAGAUCCCAAUGAGAUUAAAAGCUAUCUCAAAGGAAGAACUAGAAGAACUUCUGAAAACAGCAGCUACUUGUAAAAUAAGAGAACACCAUGGUUUCAAAUUAUUGUAGAGGCUUUUCUUAUUAAAUGGUGGGAUAACUUAAGUCAUUUGAAUCAGUUUGUUUACCACAAGAAAAUACAUAGAAUGU
rnacentral:lncRNA from 1 species